rnacentral:piRNA from 1 species
UCUGUACAACCAUUUUAUCUC